GUAGGGGAAAGGAAAGAAGAGAAAAGGAAAAAUAUGAGAAAGGGAGAAAAAAUGGAAACAAAGUCUUUGCAAAUAGAGAAGGGUGGAGGGGGAGAAGAGAGGGCAAGGGAAGGGGAAAAAAAUAAGAACCAAGAUACAUCAUGUAAUGGUACAAGAUCUCAAUGAUGAAUGUAACUGUAUUUUAUACCUAAAAUGUAUCCAUAAGCUUAAUAGGAAAAAGCUUGUGUUAUAUUUAUUUAUGUUAUAUAUGUGUCACUACACUUUGAGAUGCUCAGAAGCUGAGUGGUGCAGACAAUGUUACAUGCUUCUUCAAUGACUUUAUAUUAAAGGGCAACAAAUUAGACUUAAAGAUAUACACCUAGCCAUGAUAAGAAUGUCUGACAUCUAUGGAAAGCCUUUAGAUAGAACCUCUGGAGACUAUCUCUGACUGCCAAUUACAACUACCACCCCUUCAAUGUGAAGUAGUCAGAACAGUUAUCAUCCCUUGCUCCCUCAUUGCAGUUCAGGGUACCUCUUCAGACUGGGGAAUAUUAUAGAUAGCUAAAGUCAGGUAGAAAUAGCAUAGUCAGUCAGAUAGGGCUAGGCCCUUGAGAGAGUAGGACAAAGGUAGAACACAUCACAACCAUGGCAGGAGACACAUCUGUUGGAGACCAAGCCUCAAGAUAAAGAUGAAAUAAUCAGGCCUGCAUACUUCCUCAAAAGACAAACACUGGGACUAAUAAAGUCUAGAUGGACAGCAGUCAUCCUGCCACCCUUGCUAUCCUUCAAAUCUCUUUUCUACUCUCUGAAGAUGAAAUUAAAUUUAUAAACUUCUAUAUAUGCAUGAAAACAAGGAGUGUUUGCAUUAUG
rnacentral:lncRNA from 1 species